rnacentral:rRNA from 1 species
AGUGAACGCUGGUGGCAGGCCUAAUACAUGCAUGUCGAACGGCAGCACAGCAGAGCGUGCUCUGUGGGUGGCGAGUGGCGGAAGGGUGAGGAAUACAUGGGAAUCCGCCCAGACGGGGGGGAUAACGUAGGGAAACUUACGCUAAUACCGCAUGCGCACUUCGGGGGAAAGCAGGGGACCUUCGGGCCUGGCGCGGUUGGGUGGGCCCAUCUCGGAUUAGCUAGGUGGCGUGGUAAAGGCCCACCAAGGCGACGAGCUGUAGCGGGUCUGAGAGGAUGAUCCGCAUCACUGGAACUGAGACACGGACCCGACUCCUACGGGAGGCAGCAGUGGGGAAUUUUGGACAAUGGGGGCAACCCUGAUCCAGCCAUGCCGCGUGAGUGAAGAAGGCCUUCGGGUUGUAAAGCUCUUUCGGCCGGGAAGAAAUCGUAUCAGCUAAUACCUGGUGCGGAUGACGGUACCGGCAUAAGAAGCACCGGCUAACUACGUGCCAGCCGCCGCCGUAAUAC